UACAGAGGGUGCAAGCGUUGUUCGGAAUUAUUGGGCGUAAAGGGCGCGUAGGCGGUGCGGUAAGUCACCUGUGAAACCUCUGGGCUUAACUCAGAGCCUGCAGGCGAAACUGCCGUGCUUGAGUGUGGGAGAGGUGCGUGGAAUUCCCGGUGUAGCGGUGAAAUGCGUAGAUAUCGUAAGGAAGACCAGUGGCGAAGGCGGGUCUCUGGACAGUUCCUGACGCUGAGGCACGAAGGUCAGGGGAGCAAACGGG
rnacentral:rRNA from 1 species